rnacentral:rRNA from 1 species
UACGAAGGGGGCUAGCGUUGUUCGGAAUCACUGGGCGUAAAGCGUACGUAGGCGGAUCGUUAAGUCAGGGGUGAAAGCCUGGAGCUCAACUCCAGAACUGCCUUUGAUACUGGCGAUCUUGAGUCCGGGAGAGGUGAGUGGAACUGCUAGUGUAGAGGUGAAAUUCGUAGAUAUUAGGAAGAACACCAGUGGCGAAGGCGGCCCACUGGCCCGGGACUGACGCUGAGGUACGAAAGCGUGGGGAGCAAACAGG